rnacentral:rRNA from 1 species
AAUGGCUCACCAAGGCGACGACGGGUAGCCGGCCUGAGAGGGUGACCGGCCACACUGGGACUGAGACACGGCCCAGACUCCUACGGGAGGCAGCAGUGGGGAAUAUUGCACAAUCGGCCCCAAGCCUGAUGCAGCGACGCCGCGUGAGGGAUGACGGCCUUCGGGUUGUAAACCUCUUUCAGUAGGGAAGAAGCGAAAGUGACGGUACCUGCAGAAGAAGCGCCGGCUAACUACGUGCCAGCAGCCGCGGUAAUACGUAGGGCGCAAGCGUUAUCCGGAAUGUAUUGGGCGUAAAGAGCUCGUAGGCGGUUUGUCGCGUCUGCCGUGAAAGUCCGGGGCUCGACUCCGGAUCUGCGGUGGGUACGGGCAGACUAGAGUGAUGUAGGGGAGACUGGAAUUCCUGGUGUAGCGGUGAAAUGCGCAGAUAUCAGGAGGAACACCGAUGGCGAAGGCAGGUCUCCUGGGCAUUAACUGACGCUGAGGAGCGAAAGCAUGGGGAGCGAACAGGAUUAGAUACCCUGGUAGUCCAUGCCGUAAACGUUGGGCACUAGGUGUGGGGGACAUUCCACGUUUUCCGCGCCGUAGCUAACGCAUUAAGUGCACCCGCCUGGGGAGUACGGCCGCAAGGCUAAAACUCAAAGGAAUUGACGGGGGCCCGCACAAGCGGCGGAGCAUGCGGAUUAAUUCGAUGCAACGCGAAGAACCUUACCAAGGCUUGACAUGAACCGGAAACACCUGGAAACAGGUGCCCCGCUUGCGGUCGGUUUACAGGUGGGUGCAUGGUUGUCGUCAGCUCGUGUCGUGAGAUGUUGGGUUAAGUCCCGCAACGAGCGCAACCCUCGUUCUAUGUUGCCAGCGCGUGAUGGCGGGGACUCAUAGGAGACUGCCGGGGUCAACUCGGAGGAAGGUGGGGACGACGUCAAAUCAUCAUGCCCCUUAUGUCUUGGGCUUCACGCAUGCUACAAUGGCCGGUACAAAGGGUUGCGAUACUGUGAGGUGGAGCUAAUCCCAAAAAGCCGGUCUCAGUUCGGAUUGGGGUCUGCAACUCGACCCCAUG